UCCAGACUCCUACGGGAGGCAGCAGUGGGGGAUAUUGCACAAUGGGGGGAACCCUGAUGCAGCGACGCCGCGUGGGUGAAGGAGCGUUUCGGCGCGUAAAGCCCUAUCGGCAGGGAAGAAGGAGGACGGUACCUGACUAAGAAGCCCCGGCUAACUACGUGCCAGCAGCCGCGGUAAUACGUAGGGGGCAAGCGUUAUCCGGAUUUACUGGGUGUAAAGGGGGCGCAGACGGCAGCGCAAGCCAGGAGUGAAAGCCCGGGGCCCAACCCCGGGACUGCUCUUGGAACUGCGCGGCUGGAGUGCAGGAGGGGCAGGCGGAAUUCCUGGUGUAGCGGUGAAAUGCGUAGAUAUCAGGAGGAACACCGGUGGCGAAGGCGGCCUGCUGGACGGCGACUGACGUUGAGGCCCGAAAGCGUGGGGAGCAAACAGGAUUAGAUACCCGAGUAUUC
rnacentral:rRNA from 1 species